UACGAAGGGGGCUAGCGUUGCUCGGAAUGACUGGGCGUAAAGGGCGCGUAGGCGGAUGGCACAGUCAGAUGUGAAAUUCCCGGGCUUAACCUGGGGGCUGCAUUUGAUACGUGUUGUCUUGAGUUCGGAAGAGGGUCGUGGAAUUCCCAGUGUAGAGGUGAAAUUCGUAGAUAUUGGGAAGAACACCGGUGGCGAAGGCGGCGACCUGGUCCGACGGCUGACGCUCAGGCGCGAAAAGCGUGGGGAGCAAACAGG
rnacentral:rRNA from 1 species